rnacentral:rRNA from 1 species
UACGUAGGGGGCGAGCGUUGUCCGGAUUCAUUGGGCGUAAAGCGCGCGUAGGCGGCUCCGCAAGUCGGCCGUGAAAUCUCCGGGCUCAACUCGGAGGGGUCGGGCGAGACUGCGAGGCUCGAGGUGGGCAGAGGGCAGUGGAAUUCCGGGUGUAGUGGUGGAAUGCGUAGAGAUCCGGAGGAACACCAGUGGCGAAGGCGGCUGCCUGGGCCUGGCCUGACGCUGAGGCGCGAAAGCGUGGGGAGCGAACAGG